rnacentral:tRNA from 1 species
UCCCUGGUGGUCCAGUGGUUAGGAGUCUACACUCUCACUGUCAAGGGCCAGGGUUCAAUCCCUGCUCAGGGAA